AGACCCGAAACCCGGUGAUCUAGCCAUGGGCAGGUUGAAGGUUGGGUAACACUAACUGGAGGACCGAACCGACUAAUGUUGAAAAAUUAGCGGAUGACCUGUGGCUGGGGGUGAAAGGCCAAUCAAACCGGGAGAUAGCUGGUUCUCCCCGAAAGCUAUUUAGGUAGCGCCUCGUGAAUUCAUCUCCGGGGGUAGAGCACUGUUUCGGCUAGGGGGCCAUCCCGGCUUACCAACCCGAUGCAAACUGCGAAUACCGGAGAAUGUUAUCACGGGAGACACACGGCGGGUGCUAACGUCCGUCGUGAAGAGGGAAACAACCCAGACCGCCAGCUAAGGUCCCAAAGUCAUGGUUAAGUGGGAAACGAUGUGGGAAGGCCCAGACAGCCAGGAUGUUGGCUUAGAAGCAGCCAUCAUUUAAAGAAAGCGUAAUAGCUCACUGGUCGAGUCGGCCUGCGCGGAAGAUGUAACGGGGCUAAACCAUGCACCGAAGCUGCGGCAGCGAACGUAUCACCCAAGACAACUUUACGGAGUUGACGAUUGACGGAGCGAAGCGACGUCAAAGCGUUCAUUAAAGUCGAGUUGGCUUAGGGAUACGUUCGUUGGGUAGGGGAGCGUUCUGUAAGCCUGUGAAGGUGUGUCGUGAGGCAUGCUGGAGGUAUCAGAAGUGCGAAUGCUGACAUAAGUAACGAUAAAGCGGGUGAAAAGCCCGCUCGCCGGAAGACCAAGGGUUCCUGUCCAACGUUAAUCGGGGCAGGGUGAGUCGACCCCUAAGGCGAGGCCGAAAGGCGUAGUCGAUGGGAAACGGGUUAAUAUUCCCGUACUUGGUGUUACUGCGAAGGGGGGACGGAGAAGGCUAUGUUGGCCGGGCGACGGUUGUCCCGGUUUAAGCGUGUAGGUGUGUGUUCCAGGUAAAUCCGGUUCACUUUAACACUGAGGCGUGACGACGAGGCACUACGGUGCUGAAGCAACAAAUGCCCUGCUUCCAGGAAAAGCCUCUAAGCAUCAGGUAACAUC
rnacentral:rRNA from 1 species